GAUAAGAGCUGGAAGUAUCAGCCAUAGUCCCAUCUUCGUCUUCGGUUCUGCGCGCGAAACAGGCAAAGAACGCUCACGUCUUAUUCAUGCCUGCCAUGAUCUUCCUUUCUCUUCUUCCUCAGCUAUCUGGUAAUCCUAACAUCACAUUUUACUCCCUCUCAUUCCCAUAUUCUUCCACCACUACAUCCUUUUCUCCCCAGCCUCCUCCCAAAAACACCGUCAAAAAUCACCCUUUCAGCCUUUUCCCAAUUGCCUCGGCAGAGAACCCGAAUUCCCCUGUCUCGCCUGAGUCUAAGUCCCAUCCUGGUGCUCCCAUCAAAGCCCCCACGCCUCCGUGGAUGAAGGGUCCUCUGCUUGUUGAGCCUCAUGAAGUUCUUGACCUUUCUAAGCCCAAUGCCAAGAAGAGAUUCAAUAAGAGCGAGGUGGAACAAUCUGACAAGGCUUUGACUGCGAAGGAAAGUGGCGUCAGAGGGAAGAAGGCUAUGAAGAAAAUUGUCCAAGGCAUUGAAAAACUUCAGAAGGGUCAGAAUUACUCAACUGAUACGCAGAUGGGUCCUGCGCAAGCUGAAAUUGAGGAUACUUUAGAACAAUUCGAAAAAGACGGCGAUUUCGGAACUCGGGGUAGGAUGCCAUGGGAGAAAGAUGAGAGGAUUCAGUUUCGGAGGACGAAAAAGGAGAAGGCCGUGACUACUGCGGAUUUGACUCUUGAUAAGGCAUUGCUAAGGAGAUUAAGAACUGAUGCUGCUAGAGUGAGAACUUGGGUGAAGGUUAAGAAAGCUGGUGUUACUCAAGCUGUUGUUGAUGAAAUUAAACGCAUUUGGACUAGAAGUGAGCUUGCCAUGGUUAAAUUUGAUAUCCCAUUGUGCCGGAAUAUGGAUAGAGCUCGAGAAAUUGUCGAGUUUAAGACUGGAGGCUUGGUUGUCGGGAGUAAGAAAGAUACGCUUGUCAUUUACCGAGGCCAAAAUCAUCAGAUCACUCCUAAAGUUUCAGGAAAGAUUUAUACAAGAUACUAUCACAUUCAAAACGCAAACCAUCACGGAAUCAAUUUGUUGCAGUCAGAAACCAAGGACAAUCUUUACGAGUUUGACUUCCAUCAAAGUGGUGCUCAUGACAUGUUGAGGUGGAAAGCUGGUAGUGGAGACUUUGCAGUAACUGAUAUCCAUAACGAAGAAGAUGUGAAUUGCCAAACUGUGACUGGAUCCUUGUAUGAGAGGGAAACUGAUAGGUUACUGGAUGGCUUAGGACCCCGCUUCAUUGAUUGGUGGAUGCACAAGCCACUUCCAGUAGAUGGUGACUUACUUCCAGAAGUGGUUCCUGGAUUUGAGCCUCCAUUUAGGCUUUCUCCACCUUAUGCUAAUUCAAAACUGACGGAUAAUGAACUUACGUACUUUAGGAGGCUUGCUCACCCUUUGCCGGUCCAUUUUGUUCUUGGUAGGAACAGAAGACUACAGGGCUUGGCUUCUGCAAUUUUGAAGUUGUGGGAAAAGAGCCUUAUAGCAAAAAUUGCUGUGAAGUAUGGAGUUCUUAAUACUGACAAUGAAAAAAUGGCCAGUGAGCUGAAGCGUCUUACAGGAGGAACCCUGUUGCUGCGUAAUAAGUUUUAUAUAAUACUUUAUAGGGGCAAGGACUUCCUUCCUAGAAGAGUUACAGCUUUGGUGGAAAAGAGAGAAGAAGAGCUUAACGGCUGUCAACUUCACGAAGAAGUUUCACGGCUGAAAGCAGUUGAGGCUUUUUCACCAAUUGAUGAACCACAGCAGAACACUAGUACAAGUGGUACCUUAUCAGAGUUCAAGAAAAUCCAAAGAACGAUUUGGUAUGCCAAAAACGUCCAUGAAGAUGUAAAUGUUCAACUGGAAGCUGAAAUAGUCAGAUUGGAGAGGGAAUUGAAAAGGGGAGAGCGCCAACUAUUCAUACUUAAUAAGAAAAUAGAGAACUCAACAAAGGAAUUAUCAAAGUUAAAUGCUGCUUUUACACCUUCUGAGAAGGACUCAGACCUGGAAAUAAUGACAGAGGAAGAGAGACAAUGUUUCCAGAAGAUAGGACUGAAGAUGCGCAGUUGCUUAGUGCUUGGCAGGCGUGGGAUCUUUGAUGGUGUAUUGGAGGGCAUACAUCAGCACUGGAAGCACAGAGAAGUAGUAAAGAUCAUUACAAUGCAGAGAGUGUUUGGGCAGGUCAUCAACACAGCAAUAUCUCUCGAGGCAGAAAGUGGUGGGGUUCUAGUUUCUGUUGAUAAAUUAAAAGAAGGCCAUGCAAUAAUUAUUUACCGUGGAAAAAACUAUAGACGGCCUUCAGAAAGGGGGACAAAAAAUCUUCUAACGAAAAGAGAAGCAUUGCGUAGAUCUAUUGAAAUGCAGAGAAUUGGAUCAUUGAAGUUUUUUGCACAUCAAAGACAGCAGAGAAUCGCAGAUUUGAAGCUCAAACUGGCAGAUCUCCAGCAGAGAAAGGAAGUUGAGCAGAGGCAUAAAGAAAAUUAAUAUACAAAUUUACACAUCCCACUGGUUUGCUCUUAAUUUGUCUGCAAAUUCUGGGGGACAAGAAAUAGGAAAAUUUCUCCAAGCAUCAGUGUAUAGCAUAUUUUUGCGAGAUAUUCAAGGGAUGGCUUUCGAGGAACUGUUAAGGAUUGAAGGGGUCCUCCUAACAUUUCUACCACUUUACUCAUAGCUGGUC